rnacentral:lncRNA from 1 species
GGCGCACAGCGGCGGAGAGGCGCACAGCGGCGGCGCAGGCGCGGAGAGGCGCACAGCGCAGGCGCUGGCGCGGAGAGGCGCAGGCCCAGGUCCACUCCCCAGCUGUGAAAGGAAUGAAGAUAUAGAGAAACAAGGAAGAAAUUGACCCCGACGAAGAAGAAAGUGCCAAGAAAAAGCAUUUGGAUAAGAAGAGAAAAUUGAAGGAGAUGUUUGAUGCGGAAUAUGAUGAAGGAGAAAGCACAUAUUUUGAUGAUCUUAAAGGAGAAAUGCAGAAAGAAGCACAGCUGAAUCACGUAGAAUUUGAAGAUCAAGAUGAUGAAGCCAGAGUUCAGUAUGAUGGUUUUCGACCUGGGAUGUACGUCCGCGUUGAGAUUGAAAAUGUUCCCUGUGAAUUUGUGCAGAACUUUGACCCCCAUUACCCCAUUAUCCUGGGUGGCUUGGGCAACAGCGAGGGAAAUGUUGGACACGUGCAGCCUGAUUUUCGGAUAGCUGCCACAGGAGUUGUCCUUGAUCUGGAUAAAUCCAUAAAAAUUGUGAAGAAAUUAAAGCUAACUGGUUUUCCAUAUAAAAUUUUCAAGAACACUUCAUUUAUUAAGAUAUUGUCUUCAUGCGAACUUGGUAUCCUGUUUCCAUCCCAGCCUUCUAUAACCCAGUAACAUCUUUGUUGAAACCAGUGGGUGAGAAAGACACCUGGUCAGGAAUGUGGACCACGGGCCACCUCGGGCUCGCCCAUGGUGUCAGACUAAAGACAAACAAGGACUCUCUGUAUAAGGUACUGGUCGUGUGUGUGUUAGUGGAGAUGAAGCCUGUGCCCUACAGACAGGGAGUCACGCAGACACUUUUCUAUAAUUUCUUACGUACUUUGAAUGUUCAAGUAUAAAGUCUAAUGUUAAAUUUGAUUGAACAAUUGUAUAUUUGUGGGAUAUUUUGGAAUGGAACACCAAAAAAUGGUAAUAGUGGUUCUUUCUGGAUUGAAGACAAACUUUUCUUUUUUAAAAUAAAUUUUAUUUUAUAUAUUUGAGGUUGACAACAUGAUCUUAAAGGAUAAAUAUAGAUAGUAAACUGGUUACUAUAGUGAAGCAAAUUAACAUAGCUACCAUCUCACAUAGUUAGAUUUUUGUUUGUGUGACAGGAACAGCUAAAAUCUACUUAUUUAACAAAAAUCCCAAAGACAAUAUAUUUUUAUUAACUAUAGCCCUCAUGAUGUACACUAGAUCUCUAACUUGUUCAUCCUACAUGUCUGCUACUUUGUAUUAUUUUAAUGUACAUCUCCCCAUUUCCUACUGGUCAUUUCCUAUUUGGCCCAUUUUUCAACUGGGUUGUUUUUCUGCUAUUAAGUUGUAAGAGUUCUUUACUGAUUUUUGGAUAUUAACACUUUAUCAGA